CAAACAGGGCAGCCGCCUCAGUGCUUUUUGUAGCUUCUCUGUCCAUAGCUGAGGAGAAGAUCCUGGCACAGACCCAGGCAAGGCAUAUGGUGCUCCCGGUCCCUGCUCUUAACCCACUGCUGGCUUCAGGUGAUCUUUGCAGCUCAUGCCGUCCUGGGACUUGGCUCUAGGCUAGUUUCCUAGGGCCAGAUGGCACCUUUCCAAAUCCUGAAGAUCUGGGGCCUCAGUGUGGUACAGGACCCCAGGUGCACGGGCAGGACAACAUGAAAUGCCAGCCCUGUCUGAGCUCUCCUGGGUCUGUCAGGCGGAGCGACAACCCUUCAUGGGGGAGUCGUGCUUUGCCCACAGGAAUUCCUGUCUGACAGAGGAGGUGGUCUCAGGAAGGUUGCAGUUCCUCUAAACCUCAGUUCCUCCUCUCUUCUGGAGGCUCGCUCCAGUACUCCAAGGAGGGGUCAGAGUAGGGAGCUUGCAGAACCUGGUGGCCUGGUUAUUUUAUUUGCUAGGUGAGAGGAUCGUAAGCCUGUCUCAGCUACCCUGAGCCUUGCGACUUAGGCCAGCUCCCUAAGUCUGUUUCCCUCUCCCACACCACCAAAACCUGACCUGUAUGAGUUGUACUUUUGGUUUUAUGUCCCGGCAUCUGGCAUAUGGAUGAAGAAAUGGGGACUACAUUACCGUCCCCAUCUAAGGGGAUGUAGCUGCCUCGUACCCGCUCGGGGACGGCUGGCUUGACUGAAAGGACCCUGCUGUCAUGAUGGCCCCAUUGCUGCUGAAGUCUAGAAACUCCACAGCUGGCUUCUCCUUGGCCCCACACUUCUUGCUUUUUGCAGGUCAAGGAGUCGGGCAUGGGGAGGGGGUGCGGGUUAGCCUGAGGAUACAAAAGGCUCCUUGGGCCUUUCCUCAGCCUCGUGUAUGGACAUUUUGGUUCAGGCCAGGCUCAGCUGCAGAAAUGGAAAUACGGAAAUAUGUGUACAAGUCACUCAUAGGGAGGAGGGGAGGAGGCUGGACCACUCAUAGGGAGGAGGUUGGACCACAUGCCUGCAAGUGGUUACAGGGUCUUACUGUAGCUCAUAUCAGCAUGAAAUUGUGGAAAUCUCUUGCCUCUGCUUCUGAGUGCAGGGACUACAUAUGGGUGUAUGUCGUCGUGCCUGGCUGUAAGACACCCUGUAGGAAAACCCCUCUCCCGGUGCCUGGCCCUCUACAGUGUUCACAAGGCUUUGCCUCUUCUUAAGUCGGGAGGCAGGAGAAGCUGGAGGCAGAAGAGCUGGGCCUGGCUAGGCUAGGGGGUCUCUGGUAUUUAUCAGACAUGGGGAUUGAUCUCUCUCGAGCCCUCGCCUUGACCCCCAACUAGGACAGUAUGGCCUCCGGGUCUCAUCCAGGAAGGGGAGCAGUCCCAAAUCAUCCUCCUCCAUCCCUU
rnacentral:lncRNA from 1 species